rnacentral:rRNA from 1 species
UACGAAGGGGGCUAGCGUUGUUCGGAAUCACUGGGCGUAAAGGGCGCGUAGGCGGCCUCAGGUGUCGGAUGUGAAAGCCCGGGGCUCAACCCCGGAGGUGCAUCCGAAACUCUGGGGCUGGAGGUCGGAAGAGGAGGGUGGAAUACCCAGUGUAGAGGUGAAAUUCGUAGAUAUUGGGUGGAACACCGGUGGCGAAAGCGGCUCUCUGGUCCGGACCUGACGCUGAGGCGCGAAAGCGUGGGGAGCAAACAGG